AAGAGCUGGGCAGGAGGCAGGGGGAAUGGAGAUAAGGGUGCAACCCCAGGGCAGGGGGUAAUAGUCCACAGCAGCUGUGUUCACACCCAGGGACUCUGGGCAGAGGUGCUGGAGGUGGAGACCCACAGAACAGGGACUCUUUGCUCUCAAGGGAAGACCAGGGACUCCUAGGAAAUUCUCCAUCUGUGCUCUGGAAGGGGACAGCCAGGUGGGUUUGCACAGCAGGGUCUCCUUCCAUCCUGGAAAGGGAGGAGGGAGGCGGCUGCCGCUGUGGAAAUAACCUUGAACCUCCUGUGAGUCAUGGAGUAGGAGACAGUGCAGAGCUCAGCGCUUAGAGUCGGGGCUGCCUUGGAGUCGGCUGUGUCUGAGAGGUGAGCCUGGCACCAGCAAGUACUCUGUGACUGCCUGUGGCCGCCCCACGAUGCCUCGUGCUGCUUGCCUUCCUGGGGCAUCCAUGAUCACCAGUAGUGAGUUGCAUGCGGCGCCUCUUGGGAAAGAGCUGACGCAGGCAGGGAAGGCCAGGGAACGCUCUGCUGCCAGGGCUGCCUCCCCAGACCGCACGGUGCUGCCUCCAUCCUCCAGAUGGGCUCUGGGCCCGCCUGGCUCCACCAGCAGGCACGGUGGUCUCACCCUGGCAAGGACGGGUAGAAGCUGCUCCCCGCUCUCUGCCUUGUGAACCCACCGCUGCCCUCACUCUGGGUCCAGCCUUGAUAUGCCUAUAGCACCUGAGAUGCAGGCUUCGGUAAAUGCACAUCAAGUAUGGUGAGGACCAAAAAGAGGGAAACUGCAUUUUGAAGAAAAGUGAGAUACAUGUGAGUUCUGAACAUUGGAAGGACCAACUUUCGUGGUUCUGCCACACUGGAAAGGAUGUCAGCUGGAAGGUGCCUGGACCGUCAGAGCCAGGGGGACAUGGACUCCAGCAAUCCUGGGCCGGGGGACCCCAAGAGGACCAUGACCUCAUCGAUGAGACCCAGGAGGGACACGAACACGGGGUCCCGGUAGUCAAACCGGCGGCCAAAGAGGAGCAUAAAGGUGAUGUUGGAGGGAGCCCAGCCCAGCAGGGCCAGUGGGAAGGGCCGGCCUUCAAGAGGAGAUAAGCCUCAGGUGCGUCGAGGCCCUGGGCAGGGGCGUCCCCGGCCCCCCCGCUCACCUUCGUAGCCAUCCAGCUGCUCUGAGAGGCAUUUCAGCUCCUGCAGAAUCUUGUCAGCCAUCAGCUCCCGGCCCAUGCCCAGACUGUGCAGAGCACGCACGGUGAAGUGGCGAGCAGCCCUCCAGCGUGCCCCGGAAGAGAAGAAGAUGCCUGUGGGCAGGCGCGGCGCCCAUGUCUUCACCCCAGCCAGCCCCGCCAUGUGACCGGGCAGGAAGUGAGCAGGCAGCGGGACUGGCUGGGGCCUCACCCCCAUCCCCACUCCUGUCCCCCUGGGUUGGCCCCUGGCCCCUCCUGACUUGGGAUGAAAAGAUCCUCACUUGCUGGUCCUGAGCACCCGACCUGCCAUGUGGACACCUGGCUCUACCCAGCACCAGCUCGGAGGCCUGGCUUCUGCCUGCUCUUCCCCAGCCCCACUGGGGACUCUCUCCCACUGUUGGAGCCCCCACCCCCCCGGGAUCCAGUGCCCCCACACCCAGCAGGCCCCUGCAGUGCCAGUUGGCCGCACACCUACCUCCACCUCGCUGGAUGAGCUGGAAGAUGGCGAUGGGAGGCCGGUCGGCCAGCUCCUGCCCAGGGCCUGCCAGCGCCUCCUUGACUGCCUCAAACCCCGUCAGUACCACAGUCUUCUGGCGCCCCAGGUGCACGGUGAACACCGGCCCAUAGCGUUCUGAGAGCUGGCAGGGAUGGCAGGGGUCACCCAGGCAGCCCUCACCCACAAGGCCCCCUUGGGGCCCCUUGGGCUGGGCCUGUACUGUACUGGGUAGGGGUGGGGACAGAGGGGGGAAAUGGGGGCAGGUGGAGGGGCACUUAGAUGCCAUAAAGCGGGCUGUGCAGGGUGGAGGGCAGCAUCCAGCCUGGAGCCCCCAGAGCCCUCUCGCCAUCCAGUGCAUGGCAUGGCUGUUGUGGUCUUCUCUUUUUAGCCAAAAUUCCUGGAGGGUUCCUUUGAGCCCCGAGUCCAGGCAGCAGGGUGGGGAGCUGUCUGCUGGGGUGGCAUGUUCUGAAAGGCCAGAGUCUGCACAGAGUGAGGGCCUGACAACGUGGCCCCCAGCGACCCUGACCCUUCCUUGGCUGCAGCCCAGCCAGGAGCAUCCAGCUUGCAGUCAGGGGCAGCCAGAGACAGGGCCUGGGCGUGACUAUGAGUCCUGUCCCACUGACCCUGCCUGCCUGAGUAAGGACAGGAUGACAGUGCCGGUCAGUGUGCCCCGUGCCAGGCCCAGAAGGGCAUGCAGGAGGCCGGAGUGCCCACCCAUGCCCUCUGUCCUAAGUAUCCCUGCCCCAGGAGGCACCGACCGUCUUCUUCCCAUUUCACACAUGAGGAAAUGGAGGCUGGGAAGUGGGAGGUGUUUGCUGUUGAACACCUGAGGGUAGAAGGGGCUCCACCCUGGGCCUGUGGCUGCCUGCUCAGCCCCCAGCACAGCCAGGUGGGUGGUGGCCUCUGGGGCCCCAGUACUGGGUGAGGCCCAGUCCACCUCUUGGAUCAUGGGCAGCUCCAGUGAGGGUCUGCCUCCACCCACCAGGUCCCCUGGGGCCCCUGAAGGCCCGGCCUGUGCUGGGCAGGUGUAGGUAAGGCAGGGAGGGUCUGGGAGAGGUCACCUGGCAGGAGCCCCUGGGGGGGCAGGGCUGGGGAGGGAUGGCCUGUCCCUGUUGAGGGCCUCAGAGGCUGAGCACAGGGGACUGCUUUGAGGGGUGGUGGCAGGGCGCCUGUUGGUCAGGCAGCAGGGCUGGCCACCUCUAUAGGGCAGGGCAGGGCAGAGGCAGCCAGCUCCUGGCUGUGGGGAAGGGCAGCCUACCCUCAACAUGGGGGCCACCUCCAGCCCAGGAAGGAAGGGGCCACACUUGGGAGGCUCCCACCUGCCCGGGCCAUCUCUAUGUGCAGUCCAGGUCCUGUCUCAGACCAUUUCCAGAGCCCCUGCCCUCCUGCCCUCUGCUGUCCCUCAGCUUGGCCUCCUGCAGGUUCUCAGCAGUCACCACCUCCUCCAGGGAGCCCUCCAGACUCCUGCUCCUGAGCCCAGACCCUGGGCAGCACCUCCAGGGCUGCUUCCUAGGGUGUCUGCUUCCCUGUGGGGUAGGGCUGCUUUCCCUUCCCAAAGGCAGGGUGGGCACUCAGGCCUCCUGCAUCCCCCGCUGGGCCCAGCACCAUGUGGGCAUGGACAGUGGAAAUGGGGCUUUGCUGUCCCAGAAGGGCAAGGACACAGGUCCGCCCAGGUGGUGAGAGCUGCCGGGUUCUCUGACCUACCUCCAUCAGGGACCGGUCCUGUUGCGACAGACGCAGCAAGUGCAGGUUCCCGAUGAGCGGCAGCGGACGAGGCCCCGGGGGCCACCGGGGGGCUGGGGAGGGGUCUCGGGCCCAGGCUUGGAGCAGUCCCCAGAGCCCCAGGAGGCCCAGGAGCAGCAGGAUCAGUAGGGCCAUGAGGACGUGGCUGGCGAGGCCCUGCUCCCCUCCAGGGCCUCGUCCCCCCUCCCCCCCAGCGGCCUUAUAGGCCUCCCUGGGAGGGCGUGCCGCACCCCACCCUCCCCACCACCCCUCAUAGGCCUCCCCUGGUGGGCGUGCCCGCACCUCACCUACCCUCCCUACUGCCUUGAGAAUGUGGAGUGAGCAGUUUGCAGGGCAGCCCCCAGCGGGCUGCUUCAAGCUUCAGGCCUUCAUGGAAUGUGGGGCUGAGGCCCUGCUGGGGCCAGGAAGGGGAGUGCAGGACUGGGGGCCCUCUGGGGUCUGGCAUCCAUGUCAUCUGUCCAGGGAGAAGGACAGAGCCUAUUGACUGUUCUGUCCCUGGUUCUGGUGUACCCACCAGUCUGGGCCUCUCAGCCCUGGCCACCCCUCAGAACUUGGAUUCACAGGGCGUUGGGGCCCAGGCCCCAACUUGGAGGGGAGCUCCCCUUUCUCAGGCUCUGAGCAGGGCCCCUGUGGAGCUCAGGGUGUACAGGCCUCUCCCAAACCCUAUCCAUGUGCACCCUGCUCCUCCCUGAUCAGCUCCCCACGGGGCAAGGGACAGGAGUGAGACCUUGGGGCAGCCCAUUCGGGGCCUCAAAUCCCACAGCCCUCACAGGCUGUCAGCUGCAUUCCCUGAGACUGCCCUCACCCCAGCAGCUGCCUGCUCCCGGUGGCUGUUUGAGGGCUGCUGCGGGGCAGGAGAUGCAGCUGUCUAAGCUGGGACAGGACAGUGGAAGGGCUGCUGCGUGGCAGGUGGUGGGGUUGUCGAUCCCUGUCCAUCUGCCCUAAACCUCUGCGAGGGCGGGAACUCUACUGGCUGGCAACUAGCAAAGCUUACUUAAUUAAUUCGGGGAAUGUGAUCAUGGCUCACUGCAGCCUCUACCUCGUGGGCUCAAGCUGUCCUCCCACCUCAGCCUCCCAAAUAGCUGGGACUACAGGCACACACCACCAAACCCAGCUAAUUUUAUUUAUUUAUUUAUUUUUGUAGAGAUGGGGUCUCACUAUGUUGCUCAGGCUGGUCUCGAACUCCUGGAUUCAAGCAAUCCUCCUGCCUUAACCUCCUAAAGUGUUGGGAUUACAGGUGUGAGCCACUGCACUUGGCCUGAUGUUUUAAGUUUCUUGUAGAGACAGAGUCUAGAGGCUGGCCACUCCUCCUGGGCUCAAGUGAUCCUCCUGUUGCAGCCUCCCAAAGCACUGGGGUUACUGGCAUGAGCCACCACCGGGCCAGCCUCUUUUUUUCUUUUUCUUUCUUUUUUUUUUUUUUGAGACAGAGUUUCACUUUUGUCACCCAGGCUGGAGUACAGUGGCGUGAUCUUGGCUCACUGCAACCUCUAUCUCCCGGGUUCAAGUGAUUCUCCUGCGUCAUCCUCCCAAGUAGCUGGGAUUACAGGUGUCUGCCACCACGCCUGGCUGAUUUUUGUAUUUUUAGUAGAGAUGGGGUUUCACCUUGUUGGCCAGGCUGGUGUUGAGUUCCUGACCUCUAGUGUUCCACAGGCGUCAGCUUCUCACAGUGCUGGGAUGACAGGUGUGAGCCCCGGAGCCCGGCCCUCUUUUUAAAGUAACUCUUUCCUGGGGAAUAGACAGUGUUUUUCUAACUGCAACCUGUAAGUGUGGCUUGCUUUAGGGGACAUGGCUGGGUAUGCAUAUUCACAUUGUUUCCAAUCUUAGGCUGUCACAGAACAUCUUGCUAAAAAUACCUGUGUGUAUACUUGCAAGGAUGCCUUAAAAUAAAUUCCUAGAAACCAGGUGGCUGAGCCAAGGGAUUGUUUUGUUCUGAUGUCCAGUGGUCCUCCAGCACCCUGCAGAGACGAGUGCCAACUGCAGCCCCAGCUGCUGUAGUGGAGCCUAGGACUGUUCUGAUCGUCCCUGAUUGGUCCAGCCCUGCCGGUCAGUUACUCAACCCUGAGCCAUCCCAGUGACCAGGAGGAAUGCAGUGCUCUGAUUGGCUGGCUCAGGUCCUGGCCAGCCCUGACAUCAGAGGCAGGGUUGGUGGGUGGGUGGGCAGGUGGACUCCCCCAGAGGGGCUGGAGUCAGGCAGACCUGGUUCCAAACUCAGCCCCGCACCUGUUGGCUGCAGCAGAUGGCGGCUUCCAGAGACGGCCACACAGAUUCCCCCAACCACACUGUCUUUGCAUACUGUGACACUGUGCUUCUUCCUCCACGGUAGGGCUUGUGUUCUUAACCCUUUGUGAAACAAAGUAAGAGAGCAGAAGCUAUGUUUGCUCAUCAUUCUGCCUAUGGCGUUUCACGGGACACUUUUGCAGCGCACUGGAGGUCCAUCAGACAUCAAAAAGGAACAGGCCCUUGGCUCAGUGACCCAGUUUCCAGGAUUUUAUUUAUUUAUUUAUUUUUGAGGCGGAGUCUUGCUCUGUCACCCAGGCUGGAGUGCAGUGGCGUGAUCUGGGCUCACUGUAACCUCUGCCUCCCGGGUUCAAGUGAUUCUCCUGCCUCAGCCUCCCGAGUAGCUGGGAUUACAGGCACCCACCACCUGCACCCAGCUAAUUUUUGUAUUUUUAGUAGAGACAGCGUUCCACUAUUUUGGCCAGGCUGGUCUCCUGACCUCGUGAUCCACCCACCUUGGCUUCCCAAAGUGCUAGGAUUGCAGGUGUAAGCCACCCCGCCUGGCCUCCAGGAAUUUAUUUUAAGGCAUCCUUGCAACUGUGCAAAAAUGUGCACCUUGCCUCCAUGGCUGGGCGCAGCCUCCUGGAAGAAUGCCCAUCCCCUCCUCCGCCAGGCUGAGCAGGCACGGCAUAGGAUCCCAUGGCUCUUGCUUGAAUUGCUGCAUGUUUUAAAAAGAUAAGGUCAACGAUCCUAGCCCUUGCCUCCUCCUGUACAUAAGCUAACGCCUGACAGGAUGAGAGGCUGUAAUCUAUGACCAGAUGGACUCUUGCACCAAAACUUUGAUGAUCACAUUUGGCUCUAAGGUAGUCUCUGAGCACCUGCAAACCCCCGCCACCUGUUUAUACGCUGUGGCCCAAAACAUUGCUUUGGACCAUUGGAACAGAAACUCUCUGGCAGACUCUCCUGGGUUGCUCAAUAGGAAUCCUAGUAAAACUAACUUUAAUUCCUCAAGAGUGUAAUUUUGGGUUUUUUUGAUAUAGAGUCUUGCUCUUUAGCCCAGGCUGGAGUGUAGUGGUGUGAUCUCGGCUCACUCCAAACUCCACCUCCUGGAUCCAAGCAAUUCUCCUGCCUCAGCCUUCCAAGUAGCUGGGAUUACAGGCCUGCGCCACCAAGCCCAGCUAAUUUUUUUGUACUUUUAAUAGAAACGGGGUUUCACCAUGUUGGCCAGGCUGGUCUUGAACUCCUGACCUCAAGUGAUCCACCCACCUUGGCCUUUCAAAGUGCUGGGAUUACAGGCAUGAGCCACUGUGCCCAGCCAUGUAAUUUUUCUUGAGUGGACUCCUUGAAUCUGGGUGGGUGCUUGUGACCACGGUGGAGGCUGGAUCACACCCAGUGAUGCAGCUUCCUCCGGUUUCCCGGGGGCACCUGUGCUAGGGACCAGCCACCAUGCUGUGGGGAAGCCCAUUAGAUUGUAGAGGGGCCUAUGUGGAGGGGAACCCUGGCCCAUGGGACAAUGGCCAGGCUCCCACCUGACCCUGAGACUACCUGCCAGCCACAUGCACCACCAUGAGUGGAUCCUCCAGUCCGAAGUGGAGUAAACCCAGUCAAGGCCUCAUGGAGUGUCUCCACCAAGACCUGCCUGAGUGCAAGUUCAUGGAGACAGGGUUUUGUUAAAACACGGGAGCUUUGAAUGAAGAGACCUUCCAAACAGGCUUUGUGUAAGUAACCUGGCUGUUUAUUCACCUGGGUGCAGGUGGGCUAAGGCCGAAAAGGGCGUUAGCAAAGGGCAGUGGGAUAGGAGUUGGUUUUAUAGCUUUGGGUAGGUUUUUGGGGGGUGGGGGGUGUUGCAGAGUAAGUUCAGUUACAGUGAGGAGGUUGGGUGAGAGGUAUUUACAUUAUCAUAAGAACAGUUAAGAUGACAGGGUUGGGUGAGGGGCUCGUCAGGGGAAGCUCUGCCAGGGACAAUGAUGAAUGUAGGCAGAGGGCGGGAGACUUUAGCAGAGGCAAGCAGGACUUCAGACUUUCAGGAUACAGGCUUUCCUAUGGAGAACUGACAGGUUCCAACAUGUUGCCAAAGCUGAUCUCAAACUCCUGUGCGCAAGUGAUCACCCACCUCGGCUUCCCAGAGUGCUGGGAUUACAGGCAUGAGCCACCGCCCCUGCCCCUUCCCCACUUCUUUACCCAGGAACUGCCCAUAAAAAUUCCUUCCUCUUCUCUCCCAGCUAAAGAUCUCAUAUAAAGCAAUAAUCAUUUGCCAUGUGACAAUGAAUUAAAAGCUGACUGUCACCUCCAGAGGCCACAGGUCCCUUGGGGCUCCCAGACAGAGAGGCUUAGGGCAGCCCCAAGGGAAGGGCUGUCCUUCCACUGCUAAACUGCUGCUCCAGUCCAAUUAGUGAGCACCCUUUGCUGGGUAAUAAAAGCUCCCAUUGUUUACAUCCCUGGAAGCAUAUUAAUGAGUAACCCAGUACGUGGGCCCCUGGUUCUAGCCCUUAAAAUAGUUGUUUAUAUGACAGGAACAAGGUGCAAUUUUCCAUUUGUAGUUUUAAGUGGGCCCAGAGCCCCAGGCUGGUCAAGGCCCUGACACUGGGUUCCUGCAGCCCCAGGCCCUCUCUCUCUCUUUUUUUUUUUCAAAGAUGGGGGCGAGGGGGGUGCGGGGCAUGGGGGUCUCACCAUGUUGGUCAGCCUGGUCUUGAACUCCCGACCUCAGGUGAUCUGCCCACCCUGGCUUCCAAAGUGCUUGGAUUACAGGCGUGAGCCACCAUGCCCGGCCCCCAGGCCCUCUCUUGGGGCCUCAGCAGUGAGGUCCCCAUUGCCCUGCGGUCCAGAAACAUUGAAGUCCACACGGAGCACAGUCCAACCUCCGAGAAGAAUCUAACAGAGGCCUUGCAGAGGGGCAGGCUCCUCAGGGCCCAGCGAGGGAGAGCUGGAAGCCUCAGUGGGAGGGGGCGCCUGAGCCAGGCUUGAAGAAGGGCAGGUCCUGCAGUGGAGGCUGUUUGGCCGCCUUGACCAAGCCCUUGUCUGCAAGCAACCCCUGGGAAGUGGCAGGAAUUGGCUCCUAAGCAACAGUGGUUUCAGGCCAUACCAGGGUCCAGAGAGAGCCAGGCUGCGAACUCAGCAUUGCUGGGGACCCACUGUGCUUACUCUUAGGGCCUGGCACAUGGCAGCCAUUGUGAAAUGGGUAGGAUGAAUGAGUGGGUGGAGGGUGGAGGCUGGAGCUUCAGCAGCCCAUGGUGCUCUGGAAGGGCCAGUGAUCCACUUCCUCCAGGGCCAGGGCAGGGAGGUACAGGUUCAGGGCUGCAGGAGUCUCUGCAGGCAGGAACUGGAGUCUCCACUGAGCCCUUUCCCACCACUGCUGUUGCCAAGACAACAUCCACAAGCAAAUGCUGGGCUCUGCCACUUACAGUACACUUUCAUUCUGUCAUAGGAUGAGUAGUUACCCCCACAUUCAUAUGGUAGUCUUAGCCCCAGUACCUUAGAAUGCUUUAGAAAUUGGUGCCGGAUGCCGUGGCUCACGCCUGUAAUCCCAGCCUUUUGGGAGGCUGAGGUGGACAGAUCACUUGAGGUCGGGAGUUGGAGACCAGCCUGGGCAACAUGGUGAAACCCUGUCUCUACUAAAAAUACAAAAAUUAGGUGUGGUGGUGCAUGCAUGUAAUCCCAGCUACUUGGGAGGCUGAGGCAGAAGAAUAGCUUGAACCUGGGAGGUGGAGUUUGCAGUGAACCGAGAUAGAGCCACUGCACUCCAGCCUGGGCAACAAGAAAGAGACUCUGUCUUAAAAAACAAAACAAAGAAAUAGGGUUGCUGCUGAUGUAAUUAGUUAAGAUGAAGUUAUUGGGAUGGGCCUUAACCCAACAUAACUGCUAUCCUUAUAAAAAGAAAAUUUUGGUUGGGCAUGGUGGCUCACGCCUACAAUCCGGGCAAUUUGGGAGGCUGAAGUGGGAGGAUUGCCUGAGCCCAGGAGUUAAGGACCAGCCUGGGCAACGUAGAGACACUUCAUCUAUACAAAAAAUACAAAAAUUAGCCUGGUGUGGUGAUGCAUGCCUAUAGUCCCAGCUACUCAGGAGGCUGGGGCAGGAGGACCGCUGAGCCAAGGAGGUCGAGGCUGCAGUGAGUCGUGAUUAUGGCAUUGCACUCCAGCCUGGGCAACAGGGCAAGACCCUGUCUCAAACAAAUUUUUAAAAAUAGGAAAUUUGGACACGUGGAGGACACCAUGAGAACACAGGGGCUGAGAGCAGGUGGUGCUUCUGCAAGGCAAGGAACAUCAGGGGCUGGUGGCCCCCAGAAGCUAGGAGGCAGGCCUGGGACCGUCCCCAGGGCCCCCACUCUGCCCACCGCUUGGACUCCGGCCCAGGGACUGAGCACAUUCCUGUUGUUGAAGCUGCUCGCCGGUGGCGCUUGACUCCAGAAGCCGCAGGCAGCGCAUCCACAGGCUCUCCUGGCCCUCCCGUGCUGCCUUCCUCCUCGGGUGGUCCCUGUGAUGAGGCCUCUGUGCGAUGGGGAAACCGAGGCCCUGGCAGACACCUGGGAUGCAGAGACUCCCGGUACCGCUGUUUGUCCUCGGGCAAUUUGCUGAACCUUUCUGGGUUUCAGUUUCUCACCCAUUCCAAGAGCUGAUGGCUGGGCUUCGGCCACCGACUGCUGGACGGGAAAGCCCAUGCAGCGCCCACAGGGGCUCAGAUGAGGCCAAGGGGGCGGGGUCGGGCCUGGG